AAUACAAACUCCAUCGUGCCUUCCAUCUUCGCUUCCAAUCCAUUUGGUGCGCAUGCGAAGCGAACAGCAGGAAGACGAAGAACGAAGCCUCCACAAUCACAAUCACUUCAAUCAUUGACAUUUAAUCUUCGCAUUCAACUUGUCUCUGUGAGAGUGAUUAUGAUGAUCGUGAUGAAUGAAUCCCGUGAAUGACGGUGGAUUUAAUUUCGAAGGUGCUUGGACUGAAGUGUAACAUUGCCGUUAAUUAAUCAAUGAGCUUGUUAGGUGUUAAAUUUCUGUCGUGAAAUGCGUGGCUACUGUUGGUCUGUUGUCAUGUUGUAGAUGUUUGCGCAAUGCAUGUUGCUGUUUGUGAACUGAAGGCAGUUGGAAUUUGAUCAAGUGACAGGUUAGUUGAUGAUUCAUUUAAAUGCAUUGUUGUUGGCAUGUUCUAUCAAUGUUGGUUGGGGCGUGGAGUGAAGCUGGCUAGGACUCGAGUCUAUGUUGCGAGUUUGUUGAAGUUAACUGGAGCGCUGCCAACCUGUUAGUUAUGUGAUGGAAAUUGGUAUAAUGUGGUUAGAAAGUGGAGUUGUCAUUGCCAUGCUUGUGUGACUUGCAGCGUUUACAGUGGUGUUCGCUACAUGAUGUUGCUCCUGGUAAUUGUCUGAAUGAAGCUCACCUCGCACAGGAUUUGUAACCUGCGCAAACCGCUGCUUAAAGUAAUCAAAAAGCAUGUGAGGUUUCUGAGAUAACGCUGCCAAUGGAAAAUGUAGGUUCCUUUUUUUGAGAAGCCAUACUCUUAAUCACCAUAUGGACAUUUUCACUUGAUUACCCAAAUGCCUGUUGGUUUCUUAAUACUGUAUCAUUCUCCAUCACAGAGGAUGAAAUGAAAUUCCCAGACUUCAAAGACCGCAGAUUUUCCUUGAUCCAAUCCCCAUAUGGGUUUGAUAAGGCUACUCGUUUUUUAACCUCCAUAUUCUCAUAGACCUGGCCACCGAGUAAAUCAACUGUCAUUAUCAUGCCUGGACCUAAUCGACCUUUCAAGAUAACCUUUGAUUCAUCCAUUGGUACAACACCAACCUCACAAGCAACAUAGACCAUAUUGUCUGAUGUUCACCAAUACCUAGCAGGUCAAAGUCCAUUCCGAUCAAGGCAUGCACCAGCAAUUUUUUUAAUCACUGAACAAAAGCAAUGCGGGCCCAUCCCAAGCUUCCAUCUGGCCUUGUAGUAGUCACAUAAGUCAAUUGCCUUAGGGUAUUUGAUUGUUAAUGUUGUAAUUUGAAAUGGUGUAAUUUGGAAUUUAUUUGUGAAUGAAUUUUGAAAAUGAAUGUAUGGUUCAUGGUGGUAAGUUAGAGAUGUAA